GGUAGCCGGACUGAGAGGUUGAACGGCCACAUUGGGACUGAGACACGGCCCAGACUCCUACGGGAGGCAGCAGUGGGGAAUAUUGCACAAUGGGGGAAACCCUGAUGCAGCGACGCCGCGUGGAGGAAGAAGGUCUUCGGAUUGUAAACUCCUGUUGUUGGGGAAGAUAAUGACGGUACCCAACAAGGAAGUGACGGCUAACUACGUGCCAGCAGCCGCGGUAAAACGUAGGUCACAAGCGUUGUCCGGAAUUACUGGGUGUAAAGGGAGCGCAGGCGGGAAGACAAGUUGGAAGUGAAAUCCAUGGGCUCAACCCAUGAACUGCUUUCAAAACUGUUUUUCUUGAGUAGUGCAGAGGUAGGCGGAAUUCCCGGUGUAGCGGUGGAAUGCGUAGAUAUCGGGAGGAACACCAGUGGCGAAGGCGGCCUACUGGGCACCAACUGACGCUGAGGCUCGAAAGUGUGGGUAGCAAACAGGAUUAGAUACCCUGGUAGUCCACACCGUAAACGAUGAUUACUAGGUGUUGGAGGAUUGACCCCUUCAGUGCCGCAGUUAACACAAUAAGUAAUCCACCUGGGGAGUACGACCGCAAGGUUGAAACUCAAAGGAAUUGACGGGGGCCCGCACAAGCAGUGGAGUAUGUGGUUUAAUUCGACGCAACGCGAAGAACCUUACCAAGUCUUGACAUCCGUUGACCGACAUAGAAAUAUGUUUUUCCUUCGGGACAGCGAGACAGGUGGUGCAUGGUUGUCGUCAGCUCGUGUCGUGAGAUGUUGGGUUAAGUCCCGCAACGAGCGCAACCCUUAUGGUCAGUUACUACGCAAGAGGACUCUGGCCAGACUGCCGUUGACAAAACGGAGGAAGGUGGGGAUGACGUCAAAUCAUCAUGCCCUUUAUGACUUGGGCUACACACGUACUACAAUGGCGUUAAACAAAGAGAAGCAAGACCGCGAGGUGGAGCAAAACUCAGAAACAACGUCCCAGUUCGGACUGCAGGCUGCAACUCGCCUGCACGAAGUCGGAAUUGCUAGUAAUCGUGGAUCAGCAUGCCACGGUGAAUACGUUCCCGGGCCUUGUACACACCGCCCGUCACACCAUGAGAGCCGGGGGGACCCGAAGUCGGUAGUCUAACCGCAAGGAGGACGCCGCCGAAGGUAAAACUGGUGAUUGGGGUGAAGUCGUAACAAGGUAGCCGUAGGAGGACCUGCGGCUG
rnacentral:rRNA from 1 species